rnacentral:rRNA from 1 species
AGAGUUUGAUCCUGGCUCAGAUUGAACGCUGGAGGCGUGCUUAACACAUGCAAGUCGUGCGAGAAAGGGACUUCGGUCCUGAGUAGAGCGGCGCACGGGUGAGUAACGCGUGGGUAAUCUCCCCUGGUGAUCGGGAUAACAGCGGGAAACUGCUGCUAAUACCGGAUAAUCUUCAUGUUUAACUUCAUGGGGUAAAGGUGGCCUCUGCUUGCAAGCUACCACAUCAGGAUGAGCCCGCGUCUCAUUAGCUAGUUGGUAGGGUAAUGGCCUACCAAGGCGACGAUGGGUAGCCGGUCUGAGAGGAUGACCGGCCACACUGGGACUGGAACACGGCCCAGACUCCUACGGGAGGCAGCAGUGGGGAAUAUUGCGCAAUGGGCGAAAGCCUGACGCAGCGACGCCGCGUGAGGGAUGAAGGUCCUCGGAUCGUAAACCUCUGUCAGGAGGGAAGAACCGCCACGGUGCUAAUCAGCCGUGGUCUGACGGUACCUCCAAAGGAAGCACCGGCUAACUGCCGUGCCAGCAGCCGCGGUAA